GUGUAAGAUGAACUAAUUAUGUCAAUUAUCACAAAAAAGUCGUAAUCUGAUUAUAUCAUCGUGUCUAUUUAUAUGCAAUAUUAAAGAACCUGAUAAAACUAUCCAGGUUCUUUUUUGA
rnacentral:sRNA from 1 species